rnacentral:rRNA from 1 species
ACUGCUCAGUAACACGUGGAUAACCUGCCCUAAGGAAGGGGAUAACCCCGGGAAACUGGGGAUAAUACCCUAUAGGUUACAGAUGCUGGAAUGCUCUGUAACCGAAAGCUCCGGCGCCUUAGGAUGGAUCUGCGGCCGAUUAGGUUGUUGUCGGGGUAACGGCCCAACAAGCCAGUAAUCGGUACGGGUUGUGGGAGCAAGAGCCCGGAGUUGGAUUCUGAGACACGAAUCCAGGCCCUACGGGGCGCAGCAGGCGCGAAAACUUUACAAUGCGGGCAACCGUGAUAAGGGAACCUCGAGUGCCUGUAUAUGCGGGCUGUCUGGGUGUCUAAAACACACCUAAAGAAAGGGCCGGGCAAGACCGGUGCCAGCCGCCGCGGUAAUACCGGCGGCUCGAGUGGUGGCCACUUUUAUUGGGCUUAAAGCGUUCGUAGCUGGGUUAUUAAGUCCCUUGGGAAAUCCGACGGCUUAACCGUCGGGCGUCUAAGGGAUACUGGCAAUCUUGGAACCGGGAGAGGUGAGGGGUACUUCGGGGGUAGGAGUGAAAUCCUGUAAUCCUCGGGGGACCACCUGUGGCGAAGGCGCCUCACCAGAACGGCUUCGACAGUGAGGGACGAAAGCUGGGGGAGCAAACCGGAUUAGAUACCCGGGUAGUCCCAGCCGUAAACGAUGUGCGUUAGGUGUAUCGGUGACCACGAGUCACCGAGGUGCCGAAGGGAAACCGUGAAACGUACCGCCUGGGAAGUACGGUCGCAAGGCUGAAACUUAAAGGAAUUGGCGGGGGAGCACA